AUGUCAAAUCUUACAAAAUUGGAUUUUUGGGAUCUUGAUAUUUUGGAAAAUAACUAUUUGACAUGGGAUCUAGACGCUAAAAUUUAUUUAAGCGCAAAAGGUCACAUCGACACAUUUAUAGAAGGAAAUAAAUCAUCUGAUCAACAAAAGGCAAAAUCCAUCAUAUUCCUUCGUCAUCAUCUUCAUGAGGAUCUUAAAAAUGAAUACCUUACCAUAACUGACCCACAUAUUCUAUGGAAAAAUUUGAAAGAUAAAUAUGAUCAUAAAAAAAAUGGUAAUUCUCCUAAAAGUUUGAUAUGA